rnacentral:rRNA from 1 species
UACAGAGGUCUCAAGCGUUGUUCGGAUUCAUUGGGCGUAAAGGGUGUGUAGGUGGCGCGCUAAGUCGGGUGUGAAAUUUCGGAGCUUAACUCCGAAACUGCAUUCGAUACUGGCGUGCUUGAGGACUGGAGAGGAGACUGGAAUUUACGGUGUAGCAGUGAAAUGCGUAGAUAUCGUAAGGAAGGCCGGUGGCGAAAGCGAGCCUCUGGACAGUUACUGACGCUGAUGCACGAAGGCCAGGGGAGCAAACGGG